rnacentral:rRNA from 1 species
GACGAACGCUGGCGGCGUGCUUAACACAUGCAAGUCGAACGAAGUGGCGAACGGGUGAGUAACGCGUAAUCAACCUGCCCUUCAGAGGGGGACACCAGUUGGAAACGACUGCUAAUACCGCAUACUGAAGGAGGGGAUUGCGUCUGAUUAGGUAGGUGGAGGGGUAACGGCCCACCAAGGCGAUGAUCAGGAGACGGUCGGAGAGGAAGAACGGCCACAUUGGGACUGGGCAACGGCCCAGACUGCUACGGGAGGCAGCAGUGGGGAAUCUUCCGAAAUGGAGGAAAGUCUGACGGAGCAACGCCGCGGGAGUGAUGACGGCCUUCGGGUUGUAAAGCUCUGUUAAUCGGGACGCGGUACCGGAAUAGAAAGCCACGGCUAACUCCGUGCCAGCCGCCGCGGUAAUAC